CAAGUUUAAAUCUUAUAUGUUUGUGUUCAUACUGCUUCUGCUGCUUAUAUAUGUGUGUAUAUCAUGUAUAUUUAGAUAUAUGCUGUUUGAUUUGGUGCUUUAAUUCAGACACGUACGUGUAAAGAGCUUAACACAACACCAAAUCUUUCAUGCUGAUUAAUAUUCCUUCUGCUCAACCCUUUUCCACUUAUUUCCUUUUCAUCUUAUUCUGCUUCUGCUCUCUUUGUGAUUAGUUACCUCAGAUCCCGAGUCAUAGAAGUUUAAUAUACACCGCAAGUUAAAGUUGAAGCUAGCUUUUGGAUCCUUCAAAACCUGAAAUUGAGACAUCGGUCCAAACCGAACAUUUUUAUCCAACACUUGCCCUAGGAAAAGAGUUAAAUAUACAAGAAACCUACAUAAUUGUUGAGCCAGGCACUUACCUUGAUCUUGCUGUGGUUGUUGGAAUGGUUCAUUCUGGGUUGAGCUGGAAUGAGACGUGGUUAAAGCUUGUUCAUGCAUUUGAAGUGGGUUAUUGUUGGUGGUGCCGCCACCAAUGACUUGCGUGAGAGCUGAAACCAUGGCCGACAUGUCUUGCAGGGACCUUUCAGAAUAUAUUGGAAACAAAUUUUCAUCUUCUUCAGAAGAACGUGUCCUUCUAUCCAUUUCUUUGAUCCACUUUAGAAACUAAUUAUUGAUGCAUAUAAAUAUAUUGUUAUAUGGAUAUUUGUUCCAAGAUUAGUUGGAUCUAACAUGCUAAUUGCUAUGUGUUGUUUGGAUCGACCUCUACCAAAUGUGAAGGAGAAGAAAGGAAGAUAAGAGAGGGGGAGAAGCUAAGGUUUUGGUUCAAUGAAUUUAUAAGGGUGAACGGUUUUGGUGUUGAAGUGUGAAAACAAAGAGGACAGUGGAAUAAACAGCACCCACCGCCGAAAAAUUAAAAGUCCUUCUGUUCUUUGCUUGCUCAAGAAUUCUUCGAUGCAGUGCAAGAAAUUAAAACAAGAAUUGUGUUAGUAGCA